rnacentral:sRNA from 1 species
AUGGGCCACGCGUACACGCCGGUUCUGAGCGCGCCGUCCACACCCACCUGACGACCGCGCGCGACGUUUUGUCAGCC